rnacentral:misc_RNA from 4 species
AACGCACCUUGCGCUCCUCGGUGUUCCGAGGAGCAUGCCUGUUUGAGUGUCAGUAAAUUCUCAACCCCUCUUGAUUUGUUUCGAGGGGGAGCUUGGAUUGUGGGGGCUGCCGGAGACUAGGACUCGUCCUUGACUCGGGCUCUCCUUAAAUGCAUCGGCUUGCGGUCGACUUUCGACUUUGCGCGACAAGGCUUUCGGCGUGAUAAUGAUCGCCGUUCGCUGAAGCGCAUGAAUGAAGGUUCCGUGCCUCUAAUUCGUCGACUUAGUAUCUCUUCCGAGAGAAAACGUCUUCUUCAUUGACUUUUGACCUCAAAUCAGGUAGGACUACCCGCUGAACUUAA